rnacentral:lncRNA from 1 species
AGGUCCUUACCUUUUUUUCUUCUUUUGACGCACUUUCAUCACGUUAGUCUUGUCUUAGCUUUUCUCAUUCCAUCAUUUCCUUUUCGGACAGAAGAGUCAAACACUUGUGCCAAUCUGCCUUACUUUGGAUGCUUGUCUGUUAUCAGCUGGUACUAUCCGAUUUUGAAUACUUGCAUGGAAUGGUACUGUACAAUUUUGAACAAUUUUGUCUAUUAUUGGACAGUCCAUGCAAUUUAGGAAACUUUUGACUGUUUUUGGAUCAUAGGGUUUGAUUUUGAGCAAUGUCUCUUUGGGGAUGGCCUUAUGGUCCAAUUUUGGACACCUAUGAUUGUUUUACAAUGCAUUUAAGAUGAUAGUGCCUGUUUGUGACCUCAUCUGUCAGUCUUUGGAUGGUACCAUUCGAUUUUGACGACCUGUUGUCAGGAAAGGGUUCUUUGAAAAAAACUGUAUACUAAUCAAAUGUGAAUUUUGACUGGGGAAGGCUAGGUUGGUCUCUAUGGUUUCCUCUUAGCAUUUGCUUGUGUUGCAAAAAUAGACCCUAGCUAAUAUGUCCUUGCCUGUGCACUUUUUUCAAAGAUUGGAAACAAGAAAUGAAGAUAAAGCAAGCAACUCCAUCACCAUUUUAUAUUGGUGUUGUGGAGAUAAAGUACUUCUAUUUGAGGGCGUCAUGGUAACCUCUUCAUCUUUUGAAAGCAAUUCCUCUUAAUAAGGGAACAUCAGGUCCUUGACAGCAUUGACUUUUGUGUCUGAUGAGUGAGAGGAAUAACUUUUAAGUUAAAGUUGAUAUAAAAAGCCAGAGUUGCCCUGAGGUGUAUAACAUUUAGGCAGGAGGUCAGCACACUAAGGCAGCAGAAAGAACUCCAAGGGCUAAGCUCUCACUUCAAAAGAACUCUAUAAUGCCAGUUGAAGACAGCCCAUAGAUGGGGAGUGAAAAACACCCAUAAAAGGAGUGCUGGAAUGGAUAUAUUUUUAGAAGCUUUUAAUCAUUGGCCUUCUUCCCUUUUUUGGAACUAAUUCAACUUAGAGGAGAUAAACUUUACAGUCAAGUCUUAAUAGUGUGGUUCAAGAGCAAAGUGAAA